GCUCGCGUAGCUCAGGGGUAGAGCGCUUCCUUGGUAGGGAUGAGGUCGCGGGUUCAAAUCCCGCCGCGAGCU
rnacentral:tRNA from 1 species